GGAAGAUUUGAAAACCGUGGCAUAGGGUACAUCAAAGAUCAACUAUCUUGAUUCUAGGAUCACAGUUGCUUGGUGCAAGCGACAUGAAGUUCCAAUUGAGAAGAUUUUCAACAAGUCUCUUCUGGCAAAGUUUGCUUGGGCAAUGGAUGUCAUUCCCAGCUUCAGAUUCUGAGGUCUUAGUUUAGCACAGGACACUUCUACCCUCGUCUACCCGGUACCCCGCUCUGCUCGUUAUCUGUCUCACUUGAAAAUUAUUCACAAAUUUUAUUUAUUUUUACUUUUUUUAAUUUAACUCUUCCAGCAAGGAGUACAUGUUGUAUUCAGCAUACCCUUUCACUCUUCCCCCCUUCCCAUCUAUUAAUGGUGCUAACUGCUAAGAAGCUGUGACAUGAGUUGUCUAUUGAGACGUUUUAGAUGAAACAAAUAUGUAUUACUAACAUUUUCAGACAUUUUGAACAGUGAAAUCUCUUUGAUUUUUCAUUGUCUUA